rnacentral:rRNA from 1 species
CCUACGGGGUGCAGCAGUGAGGAAUAUUGGUCAAUGGACGAGAGUCUGAACCAGCCAAGUAGCGUGAAGGAUGACUGCCCUAUGGGUUGUAAACUUCUUUUAUAUGGGAAUAAAAUGUUCCACGUGUGGGAUUUUGUAUGUACCAUAUGAAUAAGGAUCGACUAACUCCGUGCCAGCAGCCGCGGUAAUACGGAGGAUCCGAGCGUUAUCCGGAUUUAUUGGGUUUAAAGGGAGCGUAGGUGGAUUGUUAAGUCAGUUGUGAAAGUUUGCGGCUCAACCGUAAAAUUGCAGUUGAAACUGGCAGUCUUGAGUACAGUAGAGGUGGGCGGAAUUCGUGGUGUAGCGGUGAAAUGCUUAGAUAUCACGAAGAACUCCGAUUGCGAAGGCAGUUCACUGGACUGCAACUGACACUGAGGCUCGAAAGUGUGGGUAUCAAACAGGAUUAGAUACCCCUGUAGUC